CCCUAGCCCAGAUAGCAGUGAAAAUCCUUAUACGCCAGUCCCGAAACCUCGGGAUGGCGUAUAAGAUUGCAACGUAUAGCUGGAUCAAGC
rfam:Flavobacterium sp. FPG59 Contig_165, whole genome shotgun sequence.